rnacentral:lncRNA from 1 species
UGGGAACCGGACAGCAGCCUUGGGGACGCAGCAUCAACGACACCAAAGGCUGACAGUGAACUGAGGACAAUAGUGACAAGCUCACCAAGAAAGAAGGCAGGAUCUCAUGAGAAUGCGUAACAGGACACUCCACCUGGCACGGUAGGUCAGGAAGAGGUCCUCAAAGAAGGAACACGUAAAGUGUGAGCCAGCGGGGCAGGAGUGGAAGGUGCAAGUGCAUCUUUCUGUAUCGCGUUUGUGAGAGCUCAUUAUCGAGUUGACACGAACCCCUGGCCCAGCACAUGCUGCACAUGCCGUACCUUUCUUGUGAAGAAUGUUCCGGGCUCGUACCAGGUCAGGAUCGUCAGGCCCAACACCCAGAAUUCUGAGAGACACAUAGUUGAGCGCAGUCCCAAACACGGUGGACUUAUCCUCAAUGUGCCUACAGGAGCAGAGGACAGGUGAGAAACCGGUAUCUGUCCUUACUUCUAAGAAAUAAAGCAAAACUUUCUGUGGAGUUUCCUCAGAAAACUAAGAAUGCUAAAA